CUGAAAUUAACCGGCGCUGUGCACAAUGAUUCAACUAUAUUUACACCACAGGUUAAAUAUUUCUAGGUUAAACACACUGCUGUAGGCAUUUAUGUAUGUCUGUGAGCCGAACUGUAUAUUCAGUCUUGUUUGGAACAACACCUCAUG